UGCCUAAACCGAUUAGUAAUAGUUGGCAUGGCAUACAAAACCUACUAGGAAGUAAGCUCUUCGUCAGAGCACCUAGUAGGUUAUCGUCCGAAAGGAUGGUAGGUGGCGCAAGUCAUC
rnacentral:sRNA from 1 species